CUAUCUAUGAAUCUUUCUGUCUUUUUGUAUGUUAUCAAUCUAUUUAUUGUAUCCAUCGGUCUAGUUCUAUUUGAGUUCAUGUAGUCUAAGUCCAUGUCUUCCGACUUUCUUCUUGCAGGGCACCGAGGAAUAAGUGAAUGUUCUCCUGAAAAGAGAUGUGUCUGGAUAAAGAGACCCUUGUGCUGUGUUUAUUUCCCGUGCUGUUGACCCCAACAUAAAGAAGUUAAUCUAGAUCAGAGGAGCCGAGCUGUAUUAUCGGGAUAUCCUGCGGAUAGAAAACUGGAAGAGGAAUGAGAUUCAGAGCCUUACCUCGGAGCAGUGCGGACAGGGAACCAGGAGCUCAGGUCUGUGGGAGACAGUGAGUUAACUCGCCACAUUGCCGCAUUCUCUGGCGCUUUUGGUGCAGUCGGUGAAAGGAGCGUGUUCCCACUUCCCUAAUCCCAGAACCCAGCAGCACACGCGCUUUUAAUUAAGGAAACAGAUUAGCCCCAUCUGUCCGUCAAGAUAAAUUCUGCUUCAAACUGGGGCAGCCUCUAACAACGAGGCUCUUCAUUAGAUGGCCUUCCUUUACACUUGCAGCAAGCAACCAAGUUGCCAGGCUUUAGAGUUGUCACCCUCUUCCUAUAUACCAGUCCUCAGCAGUUCCAGUUGUAUCAAAUGCUAUUGUAAAUAGUGUAUAGUGUAUUAUUUAGUCAGAUGUCAUUUCAUUUAUAUUCCCUUUAGGUCCUAUAUGCUCUGCCUAUCCACAAUAAUGAGAAAGAUGAUAACAGCAUAGCCAA